CCCACCCUCUCGCUGAUUAAUUGAAGACCAGACUGUAUUGAGUUUGUUUUUCUUGGACCAGAUGGAGGUACAUCUGCCCCUCCUGUUAUGCUACUCCCAAUUCCUGUGGAAAAAUGAGAGGAUUUUUGCUUUCUUCCUUGGAGAAUCCCUUAACCAUGAGGAUGUUAUGGAGGAGGCAUUCAUCCAAACCAAACCAUUUCAGGUUCAGGCCGCUUGGAGUAGCUGAAUACAGACACAGAGGUGCUACUUAAGGACAAGAUGAAGCAAUGAAGUCAACUUUGAGCUGGUGAGAGCUCACACACCUCUGCUGCUAGGGGAGCCUCCUGCCUCAAGGGCAAUGCCCUCUCUGCAGUGUAUUGUCUUUGACUCCAACUGAGCUAUCUCAUCUUUCUCCGAUUCUGCUGAUAUGCUGCACUUAAAAUUCCCUGGAGAAAGGCAGCCAAGGCUUGUCCUGCAGGAUUGUCUGGUCCUUGGGGACAUUGGAGCAGAAAGGGGCGCGUGAGCAACUGAAGGCCUGUAUUAAUCUGGGGAUGUGGAGAGAAAUAGAGCUAUGAAAAAGAAAAUUGGGUGAAGGGCAUGAACCACAGGAGUGAGGAGAGGUGGACACUGCUCCCUGUGAGCUCAGCAUCCCAAAGUCUUCUGCUGGAAGCAGAGCCUGGCAUGCCUACACCCUGUGUCUGAAGGGCAGUGUGGGCAGUGCUGAACUUCAGUGUAGCUACAGCCCUGUUAAGCAUGUCAUUUAAAGAUUCAAAACAAAAGCUAACCCAGCCCACAUGUUGGAACAUUGCUGGAUACUGUUGACUUGAGUGGAAUUUCACUCCAGCAGAGGCUUACUCCAGUCAUGAUCCUAUAUUUGGAAAGAUAAACAUGAAUGUAUGCUUACAUCCUGAACGCAAGUUAUUCAAGGGAGAUAAGGCAAGAGAAAGUAAAUAUAAGUCAUUCUAUGGACCAGGAUGCCAGCUGACCUCGUGUUUUGUCAGCUCACUUCCCAAUAUUUGCUUUGCUGAAAGGAAAACUUGAGUAUUUCUUUGCAAUGUUUGUGAAUGGAUUGGCGUGGUCAUCUUUACGCCUGUCUGUCUCAGCUCUGCAAAUAAGAUAUGGAGUGAUUAAUGUACCCUGCUGACUAUGUGGGCACCCUGAGCGACACCCCAGUUGCUCCCAUUGCAGCCCAACCAGGAACAGGGCCAGAGCAAGAUGCUUGAUGUGCACAGUGUGUGAAAGGAUCUGUGGGGAGCUGAGGAUGUUUAUCCAGCCAUAAAGAGAACAGGUGUGUCUGUGUUCAGAUCCAUAGAAAAUUCAACAUCCUGUUUAUCAAAGGAAGUUUCUUGUUUUUCGUGGAACCCGUCAUCCUUGCGUUUGCAUCUUUGGACAAGAGAAAUAAGGAGCAAAAGAGGAGGAAGUUGCAGGACAAUGACUGUGUGCAAACAUCUUCAUUCAUUUCUAGUGAAGCCUUGCUGAGUGGCACUGAAGGCUGAUGUCCUGGUCACUGGAGAUGGAGGCUGUAGAGUUAUCUCCUCAUAUCAGAAGAGAUAUUACCAAGAAGAUUAAAAUCUUUGGCCUGUAUGAAAAGAUGAAGAGAUGGAGUGAAUAGCUGUAAGGAAGGAGUGGUGAAAAUAGUAACAUUGGAUAUUUCUGGUGUUCUGAGAAACGUGGAGAAAGGACAGCAGGCAAUAGCCAGGCACAACUUCUCAGCAAAUACCUUUCUGGAGGAAAACCCACCAGUCUGCAGAGCUGGAAAUCUGAUGUUGGCUGGUACAGCAGGUGGAGUAGAGAGGAAAGCUUUUUUAUAACCUGGGGCUGCUCCAGGACAGGAGGAAAGGUGCCUCUUCUGCCAGGGCUGUCCAUCAUCGUACCACUCUGGCUGUGAAAACAUGCCAAGCUUUUCUCCAAGAGGCGAAGUUUUAAGUGACAACUUUGAGUUUGCACAUAUGCCCAAUUAACUCAAAAUUAAUGGCCCAGAAUGUGGUACAACAAUUGUGCUUAAUGUUGCAGAACAAAACUUUCCCUUUUAUGUCCAGGGUAAUACUUUUUUCCCUAAAACAGUGUUGGUUAGUCUUGAAUACCAAAGGAUUGUAAGCAUAAGUAUAAUGUAUGCAUUUAAAUUGACUGUUUCUUGUGCCCUUUGUUGAGCCUUUCCUAACACCCAGUAUUGUAUUGCUUCAAAUUUUUUUGUCUUUACAGUUGUAAUUUUAAAAAUAAAUAAAUAAAUA